AACAGGAUUAGAUACCCUGGUAGUCCGCACAGUAAACGAUGGAUGCCCGCUGUUGGUACCUGGUAUCAGCGGCUAAGCGAAAGCAUUAAGCAUCCCACCUGGGGAGUACGCCGGCAACGGUGAAACUCAAAGGAAUUGACGGGGGCCCGCACAAGCGGAGGAACAUGUGGUUUAAUUCGAUGAUACGCGAGGAACCUUACCCGGGCUUGAAUUGCAGAGGAAGGAUUUAGAGAUAAUGACGCCCUUCGGGGCCUCUGUGAAGGUGCUGCAUGGUUGUCGUCAACUCGUGCCGUGAGGUGUCGGCUUAAGUGCCAUAACGAGCGCAACCCCUCUCUUCAGUUGCCAUCGGGUAGUGCUGGGCACUCUGGAGACACUGCCACCGUAAGGUGUGAGGAAGGUGGGGAUGACGUCAAAUCAGCACGGCCCUUACGUCCGGGGCUACACACGUGUUACAAUGGCCGGUACAGAGGGAUGGUGUAAUGCAAAUUGCAUCAAAUCUUGAAAGCCGGUCCCAGUUCGGACUGGGGUCUGCAACCCGACCCCACGAAGCUGGAUUCGCUAGUAAUCGCGCAUCAGCCAUGGCGCGGUGAAUACGUUCCCGGGCCUUGUACACACCGCCCGUCAAGCCAUGAAAGCCGGGGGUGCCUGAAGUCCGUGACCGCAAGGAUCGGCCUAGGGCAAAACUGGUGAUUGGGGCUAAGUCGUAACAAGGUAACC
rnacentral:rRNA from 1 species